rnacentral:rRNA from 1 species
GACGAACGCUGGCGGCGUGCUUAACACAUGCAAGUCGAACGGUAAGGCUCCAGCUUGCUGGGGUACACGAGUGGCGAACGGGUGAGUAACACGUGGGUGACCUGCCCUGCACUUCGGGAUAAGCCUGGGUAACUGGGUCUAAUACCGGAUAGGACCAUGGUGUGGAUACUGUGGUGGAAAGUUUUUUCGGUGUGGGAUGGGCCCGCGGCCUAUCAGCUUGUUGGUGGGGUAAUGGCCUACCAAGGCGGCGACGGGUAGCCGGCCUGAGAGGGUGGACGGCCACAUUGGGACUGAGACACGGCCCAGACUCCUACGGGAGGCAGCAGUGGGGAAUAUUGCACAAUGGGCGGAAGCCUGAUGCAGCGACGCCGCGUGGGGGAUGACGGCCUUCGGGUUGUAAACUCCUUUCACCAUCGACGAAGGGUUUCUGACGGUAGAUGGAGAAGAAGCACCGGCUAACUACGUG